CCUGCCCGGGAGAUCGGGAUAACAGUUCGAAAGGGCUGCUAAUACCGGAUGAUAUCUUUUCUUUUCGGAGGGAAGAUCAAAGCGUUUAGCGCUCUCAGAUGGGUCCGCGUCCCAUUAGCUAGUUGGUGGUGUAAAGGGCCACCAAGGCGACGAUGGGUAGCCGGCCUGAGAGGGUGGGCGGCCACACUGGAACUGAGACACGGUCCAGACUCCUACGGGAGGCAGCAGUGGGGAAUCUUCCGCAAUGGGCGCAAGCCUGACGGAGCAACGCCGCGUGAAUGAAGAAGGCCUUCGGGUUGUAAAAUUCUGUCUUUGGGGAAGAAAAAAAUGACGGUACCCAAGGAGGAAGCCCCGGCUAACUACGUGCCAGCAGCCGCGGUAAAACGUAGGGGGCAAGCGUUGUCCGGAAUUACUGGGCGUAAAGGGCGUGUAGGCGGUCACUUAAGUCAGGGGUGAAAACUGUGGGCUCAACCCACAGCCUGCCUUUGAAACUGGGUGGCUUGAGGACAGGAGAGGGGAGUGGAAUUCCCAGUGUAGCGGUGAAAUGCGUAAAUAUUGGGAGGAACACCAGUGGCGAAGGCGGCUCUCUGGCCUGUUUCUGACGCUGAGACGCCGAAAGCGUGGGUAGCGAACGGGAUUAAAUACCCGGUAGUCCCGCCGUAAACGAAUGGGUGGCUA
rnacentral:rRNA from 1 species